GUCUCCGGCCAUGCCGCCCUGAACACGCCCGACCUCGUCUGAGCUCGGAAGCUAAGCAGGGUCGGGCCUGGUUAGUACUUGGAUGGGAGACCACCUACAAAGACCGUAUGCUGUAGGUG
rnacentral:rRNA from 1 species